rnacentral:rRNA from 1 species
GAUGAACGCUGGCGGCGUGCCUAAUACAUGCAAGUCGAGCGAACGGACGAGAAGCUUGCUUUUCUGAUGUUAGCGGCGGACGGGUGAGUAAAACGUGGAUAACCUACCUAUAAGACUGGGAUAACUUCGGGAAACCGGAGCUAAUACCGGAUAAUAUUUUGAACCGCAUGGUUCAAAAGUGAAAGACGGUCUUGCUGUCACUUAUAGAUGGAUCCGCGCUGCAUUAGCUAGUUGGUAAGGUAACGGCUUACCAAGGCAACGAUGCAUAGCCGACCUGGGAGAGUGAUCGGCCACACUGGAACUGGGACACGGUCCAGACUCCUACGGGAGGAAGCAGUAGGGAAUCUUCCGCAAUGGUCGAAAGCCUGACGGAGCAACGCCGCGUGAGUGAUGAAGGUCUUCGGAUCGUAAGACUCUGUUAUUAGGGAAGAACAUAUGUGUGAGUAAAUGUGCACAUCUUGACGGUACCUGAUCAGAAAGCCACGGCUAACUACGUG